rnacentral:rRNA from 1 species
AUACCCUAUUAUUUUAAGUGUUAAUUUUACUUACCUGGGUACUAUUAGUUAGGAUCUUUAAACCCAAAGAAUUUGGCGGUACCUUAUUCCAUUCAGAGGAACCUAUCCCGUAAUUGAUAAUACACGAUUUACUUUACUUAAUUUAUUUGUUUGUAUAUCUCCGUUAUCAGAAAAUCUUAUUGGAGUUAUAAUUUUCUUGAUUUAUGAUUGUAAAAUAUUUCAGGUCAAGGUGCAGCUUAUAAUUAAGAGGAGGUGGGUUACAAUAAAUUUUUGUUUAUUAUGGAUUUAAUAGUUAAAUACUUUUAAUGAAGGUGGAUUUGAUAGUAAUUUAAUUAAGUUAUUUUAAUUGAUAUUGGCUCUAAGGUGUGUACACAUCGCCCGUCACUCUCA